UCAGAGGCGCGGACUUUAUCAGUAGCGGACGUUACGGCGCGCAAAAGCCGUUCGCGAAAGGAAAGUCUGCCGAGGUUUUUCGGGGGUUUGCGGCUCCGUAAUUCCGGGACAGCGUGAAAUACGCGCUGUACUGUCGCGUUUGCGGAGUGCUG
rnacentral:ncRNA from 1 species